rnacentral:lncRNA from 1 species
GCGCGAGAACCCACUUGGUCGCUUGCUGGAGACAAAACUGAGCGGUGGCGUCGGAGAAGGCGAGCCACGCGGUAGGAAGGCUCUGAGGCGGCCAUGCAACUCGAGUGCGGCUGAUGCGGGGGAUCUGGAAAAAGAUCUCGCGGGUCCACUGGGGAAAAGAUCGGACGGGUGAGGAAGAUUAACCGGAUCCGACGGAUGGCUGAACUCGCCGGGGUCGGGAAAAAGGAACGAAGCAGUAGGGGUCGGAUCUCAGGGGUCGGAACUGGCAGAAAACUGAGCACUUAAGAGCGAUCCACAGAACAACUGACGGAGGUUUAAGGGCUGAGAUCAAACUUAACCGGGAAAGAUUUGGGGUCGGUCGUUACAUCCUACCCCCCUUAAAAGGAAUCUCGUCCCGAGAUUCAAGAUCAAGGGUGUGUUGUUCUUACCUCCUUGAUGGGAUAGAAAACCUGGAAAACGCUUGUUCAGAUAUUCUUCCGUCUCCCAUGUUGCUUCGUCUUCGGUGUGAUUUCUCCAGAGGAUCUUGUACAUCCUUACCAGUCGGCGUCGGGUGUGCCUUUCCUUCUGGUCCAGAACUCGAUCUGGGUACUCGGUAUAGGUCAGGUCAGGUUCUACUUGAAGCUGUUCUUGUUCUAGGAUUUCUGCUGGAACUCGGACACAUUUCUUCAACUGAGACACAUGGAAAACAUUAUGUAUGGCCGACAGCUGCUCUGGAAGUUGGAUUCUGUAAGCGACGGGUCCACAGAUCUCCACAAUCUCAUAAGGGCCGAUGUAACGGGGAGCUAACUUGCCCUUUAUUCCAAACCGUUGCACUCCUUUGGUUGGGGAGACUCUAAGAUACACAUGGUCACCAAGGUUGAACUGCAGGGGUCUUCUCCGUUGGUCAGAGUAACUCUUCUGUCGAGAUUGGGCAGCCUUGAGAUUUGCCUGAAUUACUCUUACUUGCUCUUCGGCCUCUGCCACUAAGUCAGGGCCAUAGACCUGUCUCUCUCCUGAUUGGGACCAGUUCAAGGGUGUUCGGCAUCUUCGGCCGUACAGGACCUCAAACGGUGCCACCUUCAAACUGGCUUGGUAGCUGUUAUUGUAGGAGAACUCUGCUAAGGGCAGGCACUUGUCCCAGUUCUUGUCAUAGUGAAUGACACAAGCUCUUAACAUGUCUUCAAGGAUCUGGUUGACUCUCUCGGUUUGGCCAUCGGUCUGGGGAUGGUACGUUGAGCUUCGAAUGAGCUUGGUGCCCAUGGAUGCUUGUAGUUGCUCCCAAAAUCGUGCCACAAACUGAACUCCUCUGUCUGAAACUAUGGUCUUGGGUACACCGUGUAGAGAAACGAUACGGUCGAGGUAUAACUCUGCAUAUUGCUUGACGGUGUAGGUGGUACGAACAGGCAAGAAGUGUGCUGUCUUGGUCAGACGGUCCACUAUAACCCAGAUAGAAUCGUACCGUUGAGUUGUAAGGGGUAGCCCAACUAUGAAAUCCAUGCUGAUGUCUUCCCAUUUCCAAGAGGGAAUAGGCAGCGGCUGCAAGGUUCCUGCUGCCUUCAAGUGACUGGCCUUGACACGUCGACAAGUGUCGCAUUCUGAAACGUAACGUGCUAUCUCCGGUUUCAUCCCACUCCACCAAAAGAUCUGACGAAGAUCAUGGUACAUCUUGUUGCUGCCAGGGUGGAUGGAGAACUUGGAAAGAUGAGCUUCAUCUAGGAUUUGCUUCCGUAACUCGGGGUCGGCGGGCACUACUAGUCGGUUUCCAUAGUACACACCUCUCGUUUGGUCCUGCCGGAAAAGCUUAUACCCUUCGUCCUUUACCGAGAUUUUACUGAUGAUCCGUUUCACUUCUUCAUCCUUAGUUUGUGCUGACCGAAUCCGGUCCUCCAAAACUGAGUCAAGGGUGAGGUGAUCAAGGGUUCCAUGGGGAACAAACUCUAGACUUAGUUUUCCCAUUUCGUGACACAAAGUGUCGGUGAAGGCUGCUGACAACAAGCAGUUGCAACGUGGUUUUCGACUGAGGGCAUCGGCCACUACAUUGGCCUUGCCGGGAUGAUAGUGCACGUCCAAGUCAUAAUCCUUUAUUAACUCCAGCCAUCUUCUCUGACGCAUGUUGAGGUCGGCUUGCGUGAAGAUGUACUUGAGGCUCUUGUGGUCGGUGUAGAUGUUGCAGUGGGCUCCCAUUAAGUAGUGCCUCCAUAUCUUCAAGGCAUGUAUCACUGCUGCCAACUCAAGGUCGUGUGUCGGGUAGUUCAGCUCAUGAGGUCGCAACGCACGUGAGGCAUAGGCAACGACUCGGUUGUCUUGCAUAAGAACACAUCCGAGUCCAGUGCCAGAGGCGUCACAGUAUACGUCAUACGGCCUAGAGGGGUCGGGUUGAGCCAAAACUGGGGCGGUGGUUAACAAGUGCUUCAAGGUUUUGAAGGCUCCUUCACACUUGGUGUCCCACACAAACUUGGCCUCUUUCUUCAACAACUCGGUCAUCGGCUUAGCUAUCUUGGAGAAAUCUGGUAUAAAACGCCGAUAGUAACCUGCCAGUCCGAGAAAACUCCGGAUCUGGUGUACCGAGACAGGAGACUUCCAUUCCAUGACCUCUUGCACCUUACUGGGAUCUACGGCAAUACCGUCCGCGGAGAUAGUGUGUCCCAAGAACUUGACACUAUCCAACCAAAACUCACACUUGGAGAACUUUGCAUAAAGCUGGUGGUCUCUCAGUCGCUGAAGAACUAUAUGAAGAUGGUUGGCAUGCUCUUCCUUGUCUUUUGAGUACACUAGGAUGUCAUCAAUGAACACCACGACAAACUUGUCCAGCUCGGGCAUGAACACCGAGUUCAUAAGGUACAUGAAGUAAGCGGGUGCAUUGGUGAGUCCAAAGGACAUGACUAGGUACUCAUACAACCCAUAUCUGGUAGAGAAAGCUGUCUUGGGCACGUCGCAAGGUCGAAUCUUGAUUUGGUGAUAACCAGAACGAAGAUCGAUCUUGGAGAACACUUUUGCUCCGGCUAACUGGUCGAACAAAACAUCAAUGCGGGGCAGCGGGUACUUGUUCUUAACUGUUACCGCAUUGAGGGGUCGGUAAUCCACACACAUCCGUAAACUGCCGUCUUUCUUCUUCACAAACAGGGCGGGGCAACCCCAAGAUGACGUACUGGGUCGAAUGAAACCCUUUUCCAACAGGUCAUGCAACUGAGUCUUCAACUCUACUAACUCAGCGGGUGGCAUCCGAUAAGGUCUCUUAGAUAUUGGAGCCGUGCCAGGAACUAACUCUAUGGAAAACUCCACUUCUCUGUCAGGUGGCAUGCCUGGCAAGUCCUCUGGAAACACAUCUGGGUACUCACAGACAACAGAGAGGUCUUCUAUACGGGUUCCCAAGAGAGAAAAAGCACAAGGGGGCAAAGACUCAGGGUGGGUCAAGGAUAGGAUAGCACUGCCAUGAGAGGGCGAGUUGAUGGAAAGAGAUCGGGCUGAGGUAUCUAAAACAAUAUGAUGUCGGGUCAUCCAAUCCAUGCCAAGGAUGAUGUCUAGGCCUUCGAGGUCAAGGAUGAUAAGGUUUUCCUUGAAGAGGGUGGGGCCUAGCUGGAGAGGUACCAGAAUAACGACCUGAUCCGACGUUAUCCUUCCUCCAGGAGUGGCGAUCACAUAGGGUUCCUUAGUGUGACCUACACUUAGCCCACAUCUUUCCCUUGCCUUACUCCCGAUAAAACUAUGGGAGGCUCCCGAGUCAAACAACACCACAACAGCUUGUUUUAAAACAAGAAAAGUACCCGUCAUUACUGACGCACCUUCGGGAAGUUCGGUCAGGCUGGUGUAGUUGAGUCGGCCUUGUCGGACUUGUACCUUGGGCCUUCUUCCUCUGGCUGCCAGGAGGUUCUGGCCUUGCUGCCGAGUCUUGCUCCUGGGGCAGUCCCAUGCAAAAUGUCCCUCAUUGCCGCAGGUAAAGCAUCUGUUACUGGCCACCGGACGAGGUGGCGUUGGCAAGGUCGGCCGGGGUACUUGUGGUUGGAAGCCUGGGGAACUGGGCAUUGUUGCCAGCGGGGGUCGGGCGAUCCAUUUCCCUGACUGUUGGGGUUGGCCAGGGGCUUGCGGAGGGAUCAUCCGAAAUCUUCUGGCUGGCGGGCUCGGAAGAGCCACAGAGGCUUUCCUCUUCUGGUCGGCCUUGAGAGCUUGCAUGCAAUCCUCCUGGGAGAUGGCCAGAUUGACCAGCUCAUUAUAGGUGUCCACCCGGAUGGGGUUCAGCCUCUCCCUGAGCUCCAAGCUCAAUCCUCGGCGGAAUCUGUCCCGCUUCUUCUCAUCGGUAUCCGCGUGAUAUCCCGCAUAACGGCACAGGUCGUUAAACGCCUGGGCGUAGUGCAGCACAUCCCUAGUUCCCUGGGUGAGGGCCAGAAACUUGUUGAGCUUUCGCUCCAGGAGACCUUCAGGAAUGUGAUGCGCCUUGAACGCCAGCUUAAACUUGUCCCAGCUAACUACGUGGUCAGCAGGUAGCAUGGCAUGGUAGUGGUCCCACCAAAGCCGUGCGGAACCACGCAGCUGCUGAGCUGCGAACCGCGCCUUGUUGCUGUCAGGGCAUGGAGCGGUAAGGAGCUCGAACAUAGAUUCAAUCGUCCGAACCCAUGCAUCAGCGUCGAGCGGUUCCUGGGUCUUUUGGAACAGUGGGGGCUGUGUCCCCAAAAAGUCCUCAUAUCUUGCGACAUGCUGCUGCUGCUGUGCUCUACCGCCACGUGGCUGCUGUUGUCCUUGUACCAGAUGCCUGAGCAGCUCGGUUUGAGUUGCUAGGAUUGCCUCCAAUGGCGAUGGUGGCGGGGGCGGGGGAAGAUCCUGGCGCUGGUCACUGUUGCUGGGCAUAGUUCCAGACCUCGUGCGGUGCGCCAUCUGCAAGAGUUAACGCCCCAUUAAUCUCAUAACCUUAGGUGGAUUCCAACGAAUGGGAUCGUAUGAAUUAAAUCCUUUAAUGCGACUCUUGCCAAUGGUACAUCACACGUCCUUAUAGAGGAAGCACAUUCCUCCCAUUUUAUCACAGAUAGCCCCUACUUGCUCUGGUACUCCACCUCAGGUAACCAUACCACAACAGACUUCUAGAGUCGGUCCACUCGAACCAAGGGGUCGGAUACGGUCCGUAUUCUCAGAGGGUCGGACAAGGCGGUAACUGUCUUAAGGGUCGGCGCACUCUGGUUCGCAAGCUAGGGUCGGCCAACUGAACAGGCUCCCUGAAAACAACACAGGGUCGGCACCACUUACGUAACCUUAGCAUCCGCAUCAUACGAAAAGGAUAGAACUGUACACUGCACUGGAUUAACUUUAUACACAACGUUGUUUUCAACUCAGGGAGUACUCAACUCAAGGCUAACCUAUUACAACCUUCCAAAACUAGGCUGCCGAGGAGUACAACAAAAGAAAGAGGGUUCCCUGAGAACCCUUAAACUACCACUGGAUACUAUGAGUCGGAGAAGGAACGUCAUCUUCUUCUAUGUCCAUGCUGGACGCUCCCUCGUCUUCCUCAGGGUCCUCCUGAGCUUCAAGUUGCAUGUUGAGGGCAUGCAUGUCUUCAAGCUCAGCUUGGUGUUCCUCUAGGUGGGCAUUGGCAAUGGCCAAUUCCAUUUCCACCUCCAUUUUCUCCUCCGAGAGCUCGAUCAUACCGUCCACAAGGUCGGCAACUUCUCCUUCCAGCUCGGAGAUCCGGUCUUGCAUGUCGUGGAUCUGGACUCCACGUUGGAUCAGCUGGUAGGUUUGGCCUACCAGAUCUCUUCUAGCUGCUUGGAGGUACACGUGGGUGUCCGUAGCAGUCCGAGCAAAGAGUGUCAUGGCCCUUCCUUGGAGCUCGAUCAGCCGGUAGAACGCAGACAUGCAUCUGACGUUGGUGGAGAUAGUGAGCGUGGCGCAGGUAGCGGCCAACACCUCAAGAUUGCCGAUACGGUCCAGCCAGGCCGGGUCCAUCCGACUUCUGAUAGGAAAAAGACCGAUUGGGUCCAGGGUGAUCUCCACAGGGUGGAACUGACAGAACUGCGUGAGCAACUGGAGAGCGGCGGAUUCCCACGUAUCUUCCGGAGAAAGACCGUAGGCUAUGAUACCCAGAGAGGGCCAGUCGGGCCGCACAAAAGGGGGUGGCACCAGUGCUUGCACCUGGCACGCCUGGAUGCCUUGCUCCACAUACAGCCGCCCAGAGUAUAGGGGUGGGGACUGAUACCCAAACCAUCUCAACGUAUCCCACAAGAUCGCGGGAAACCCCUCGAAAUGUAGGCAGGUUGAUUGGAAGGUACCGUCCGCUCCAAACACCACAUGCCCGGGAGCAGCCAUCUGGAACCAAGAAAACCGAAGCCACGUGAGAUAACUUCGAAGAUCAGGGGUCGGAUAGAGAAGCAGAAGGGCUUAACCGAGAGCAACUAAGAGGAGCUAGAAAUCCUUAGAUCCAAAGGAACUCUGUCGGACAGGGUUGCUGUUGAGAAGGAAACUUCACCGGUUUCUGUAUGACGCAUGCACGGCCUACCGUAUUCUUAACCAAAAACAACUGCCCGAACCUCGGGUCUUACGCGGUUAGCGCCGGUGACAAGGCAACAAUACGUCUCUCCCUAUAUUAUCUAGUCGGUUCUAGCAACGUCUUAACGAACACGGUUAGCAACCUGCAGAAAACACACACCCGAACCUUUCGUGCCAGCACCCACGAAAGCGUUCCCAAACAUUACCAUCCACUAUAGGAACGGCACCCAUGCGUUUAAGGCUGCAUGGACAGCACUCAACCGUGGAAAGAGGUUCCUUCCGAAUAGAACCACCUAACCCUUCGCAUACUCGUGAUGCGGCAUCGGCACACGUAUGAUAGACGUGGCGAAACAACCGUGCCAAUAGGUUCGUUGGAAUCGAACCGUAUCAACCUUCGUAUGGAUCACAUACGGAACCUACGCACGUAUAAUAGACGUGGGCGAAAACAACCGCGAAGAUAGGGUCCCUUGAAUGGAACUCCCUAUCAACCCUCGCAUACUCGUGAUGCGGAACUCGGCUCACGUAUAACAAACGUGGCGAAGUGCUGGAGGAGUUAGCAACAUAACCAGAUACUUAUUAGUCACCUAAAACAACCCCAAAAUCCCCUAGGGCCUCUCGCACUAAGUCAUCCUUAAUGUUUGUACGAGAUUUUCGAAAAGUUCUUGCAACUUUUAUAUUUUCAAAGAAGUGUUUAGGGCUCCUUGGGUUCUCUGAUAUGCUGAACUCGGCUCUGAUACCAAGCUGUGGCGGAACCACCUCGGAUUAGCUUGAUUAAGCAGGGUUAAGCCGCCUAACAUGCGACACUCCUGCCUAAACCGAGUUAAUACGAAGUGCCGUCGGAUUCCAUCCGAUUUCACCACUUAAACAGGAUCGAGUUCAGCAAACCCACACAAGGUGAGCGGUUACAGAGAAUCCAACAAGUCCACUGAGUUAAACAUUCUUACUCAAGAGUUCGAUCAUAAAAAUUUAACAUCAGAGUUUUAUAACAAAAGUCAACAGAGAAAUCCCUAGCGGAAGACUUCGUCGGGGUCGGACGUCCGGGCGAGGCCAGCCAGAACAUCACUGAGUCCUCUCCUCGCCGUCCGAGGAGGGGUCCCACUCGACCGUCCAGCCUGGCGGAAGCUGGGGCGGCCAAGCACCAACCAGAGAGGGGUCGGAAACUGCAACUUCACCUGAAAAACAGGAGCCACAACAAGGCUGAGCUACUAAGCUCAACAAGACUUAACCGGGGAGGAGUCAACGACUCUUCCAACUAGACAUGCAAGGCUUCUUGGCUGAGGGGGUUUGUUUUGCCAAAAGCACUAAGUAACCUAUUUUCAAGUUUUAGCUCCGGUUCUAGAUUUACUUACCAGUCUAGGUUGUGCAACCUAUUCUAAGCAAACAUAGAGCCAAACAAGUGUGUAGAUAAAACAACAUCAUUGCCAUCAUCAGAUUCCUCAUUUACUCAGGGUGACAUAGCGAUCAAGCAAUCUCAAACUGUGAGAGGCAGACGAAUCGAUUCGAGUUCUUUAACCAUGCAUGGUGAACCUAGCCCCACGACAUCCGCGCACCCGGAGAUCGCUUCCUGUGUCGGCCUUCCCCAUCGAUCCCCUAACCCGUGUCGGGCCCAUUUCCUUUGGUGCAAGGUUCCACAGACCCGGCCUCUGCCGUCCUGUGACCACGCUUUGCCACCACGUGCGACAACCAGCAGGGGAAACUCCGUUCCAAGAACAAUGGGGCGACCGCUCACGUCUAGGUUCAAUCAGGUACUAGGCUUCCUCAGCCCAUACUAAGUAUGAGGCUAGUACUUUCAAACACUUGAUCACGAACACCACCACUGUCGGGCCUUAGCAAGUUUUCAUAGACAAACGGGCAACCAUCCAACCACCAAAGAGUUACCCAACCCUGCCCGUCCAUCGUCCUUAUAGUUGUAACAGGAGAGUAAACAUGCAACUCCUACAACUCGCGAGCGACAGAAGAUCACUCGGCUUUUACCGUCUCCUAUUAAGCAAUGCAGCUACUUGGUCCAACAGCUAGUGCUCAUAUCAAGGGUUACUAAGUCAUGCAUCUAGGGUUUCACACAACUCCUAUACGUAAAUGCACAAGCAAGUUACAGAAGGCAUACGCAGGUCUGGCAAAACACGUAGGUUGGUUCAUGCAACCGGGGCUUGCCUGCAAACAAAGAGGGUGGAAACUGCUCGACUUCGGGGGCGGCUUCGACUUCAGCGGGCGGAAACUCGGCUACAGCUUCUUCUUCGGGCGCCGGGUGCAGCUCGUAGAAGCCGUCAGCGAGGUGCAGCUCUACACGGAUGCAAUGCAAAGGUUAGCUUAACGUUUUGGUUUGACAGCAACACUGGCUCUCCUGAGCCCAGAAACUUGCGACAAAGAACAGGAGUUGGAGACUGUUUAAGAGAGCUGAUGCUGAUCAACAGGUAAGGGUAGGGAAGAAACGAGUGGUCCGAUCCUCGAACUAGAGGGUGUGAUAACCGGGAUCCUCAGACGUAAGCGCUGAAGGGUUCCCACGUUUUACACUUACACCCUUAAGUUGAAGAAAGGAUCACAGCCAGACCCUCGGGCGAGGCGGACAAAGGUCGGCAAACAGACAGGGUCGGACGAGACGGAACUGGGGUCGGGCGGGUAGGAGGGGUCGGUCGAGGCGGACUUUAGGGUCGGCACUCACCUUCUUCCUGAAAGGAAGGCUUGGGGUCGGGAAGAGGCAGACUUGGGCACUGAACUAAAGCUUUGAGCAGGAACUAAGGCUGGCGGUGCUCCGGCGGCGGUGCUUCUUGCAGAUUGCAAGAGAGCUCUUGCGCAGCACCAGAGAGCAAGCUGCGGGGUGACUUGGAUGAACUGAGAAGGAACUGGGAGAAGAACUUCUCAAGAUUGGGUGGAUGGCGCUAGGAGCUUGAGCAGGGAGCUAGCGGGAACUAAGGGCAACAAAAGCGGAGGGAACUCCGGCGACGGGGCAUUCCUUUUAUAGCCGCAGGAGCAGAGGAACGGAAGCGUCGCGGAGAGAGAGGAGGGAAGCAGCGCGAAGGCCGGGGAGAAGCAAUGGAGUGCCCUGCCGUGGCGGCGAUUGAGCAAACCAGGCGGUGCGGCAGAACUCCGGGGGUGACGCCAGCGAUCAUUGCGCUACUUCGUCAGAGCGGCGUAGGCGCGGGUAGACCGGUAGUUGAGAUUUGGCGGAAAGCGGGCGUCGCCGUGCGGAAGAGGUGAUAGAAGCGACCGGUUAAACGGUGCUAGGAUCGAGGGCGCACAGGUGGGAGAACAAACGGAUGCGGCGCGGGGUAGAGCGCGGAACAACAGAUUGUCGGGCGGCGUCUGACAGCGCGGGGAAAGGGACUGUCGCGGCCGCGGUCGGGGUUGGCGGUGGGGGAAUCGUCGUGUAGCGACGACCGGGCGGCGCAACUGUUGCUGGAAAGGACGGAAAAGACGGGCGACAUCGGUCUCCGGGGCCGAGAUCUGGUAUCGUGAUGAUGGGUGCGGGGAGCGAGGCUCUGCAGAAAGGGGCGCAGAGGGCUUCCGCUGCUAUUGGGGAAGAGGGCGCGAGAACCCACUUGGUCGCUUGCUGGAGACAAAACUGAGCGGUGGCGUCGGAGAAGGCGAGCCACGCGGCAGGAAGGCUCUGAGGCGGCCAUGCAACUCGAGUGCGGCUGAUGCGGGAGAUCUGGAAAAAGAUCUCGCGGGUCCACCGGGGAAAAGAUCGGACGGGUGAGGAAGAUUAACCGGAUCCGACGGAUGGCUGAACUCGCCGGGGUCGGGAAAAAGGAACGAAGCAGUAGGGGUCGGAUCUCAGGGGUCGGAACUGGCGGAAAACUAAGCACUUAAGAGCGAUCCACAGAACAACUGACGGAGGUUUAAGGGCUGAGAUCAAACUUAACCGGGAUCGGUCGUUACAGCCGUCUACACUCCAACGACGCUUUCGCAGCGUACCUGCAGUAGUACGUCCCGAGGACACAGACACGCGUCAUGCACGUUCCCAGGCAGGCACCAACGAAGGCUGCACCACUGGCACAGACGUAUCCACAUUCACAGUACACUACUGCAUCAUUUCCUACCCAAACUGAUUUGGAUUAUGUUGAACUUUGUAUGGAAUAUGGUGUGCCUAACUUGAACUAUGUAAUUGGCAUUAGUACAACGUUGUUGCAGUGGUUCAGGCGACGGUGAGGACCGGUGUGGAGCAAUGUUGGACCAUGUCUCCGCAGGAGCACAAGUCGACAUACAAGAGGAUAGAGCACCUCUGUACUCGGUUCCUGCGGGCCAUCAACUUUCAUGGUGGUGACGCCAACGUUCUACUUCCACCACGGGCUGUCUACCUCGGGUUGUCUUCAGCACCACCUACGCAGCAUCUCGGUUCAUCUUCAGCACCACCUACACACCACCCUGGUUCAUCUUCUACUGCACCCACACGUCCAGUGUACCCCACGGUGUCUUGUGCACCAUAGGCACAUGCAGUCCCCCCUCCCCGGGGGGCGUCG